CGUGUGUCGCGACUUAAGGCGGGGGAGGUGACGGUCGCGGUACUCGCUGCGUCCGCUAGUGCCCGCUGGGGUGCUGGAGGCCUCUCCUUGGGGCCCCUGCCGUGGGUCGGGGUCGCGGCGAUGCGGCCCGUAAGCUGAAGGGAGCCGGGGGUCUGCCGGCAUGGGAGAGGCGGAGAGCGGCCGCCGAGGCUGUGUGAGGUGGUGUUUCGGUACUGGUAAGUGUUUCGGAGCUGGAGAAGGCGAGGCUCGCACCCAGGGGUCACAGGGACGGCAGCGGAGGAAGCGCUUGGUGGGAAGGGAGCAGCACCAGUCUCUCGUUAGGCACUUUCGCAGUCGAAACGGCAGAUAGUGCCAUGGCCACCGCGGGGGGCUGCUGGUCGCUUUUAGUGAACCCGCUCCCUGUGCUCUCCUCGGAGAUGCGCUGUUUCCCCUCUGUAGCGGUGCAAACGUGGCCGUUGCCAUCGCAACUUGUGCCAUUCUCUCCGUGCAGUUCCCAGUCUCCCGGUUUCACUCGGCUGUUCUUGGGAGCCCUUCUGCACACAGUUUACACACGCACCGGGUCGCUGCCUUUAUUCAGCUUGUCGGGAGGAUAUCAAAAGCAACACCCAGGCAAAGAUGUAGAUGACCAAGAGGUGUUUUCCCCUCCUGGCUUGGGAUUAAAUUUCUCAGUCACAGGUAAGGUCUUUGUGUAUUAUUUGCUGGGGCAAAUAGAAGGCAGGGAAGGUUGCAUUUCUGCUGCUGGUACUCCAUUUGGAAGGGCUCUUUGUACAAAUGGUGGAGGGUGCUGGGAAAACAAAGUGAUCUCAAUGACAUCCCUGUGCCUGAAUUAAACUGACCUGCUGCUGUCACACCAGACCUUGGGACAGUGAUGGUAUGCUCAGUGGAGAGCUGGAGGGAAUUAAGGCUGCAGGUGGACACUCUGUGGGCAGGUUGCCUGUGCCUGCAACAGCAAAGACCAAGUGGUUUUUGUGCUUGUGAACUGAUGGCAUUGGUCCCUUGCUUGUUUUGAGAGGCUGUUGCUGUUCUGACACAUACAGCAGCGUGCGUGUUGCUGCCCGUGCCACAGUGGUGUGCACAAACCACAGGCACUGCUUGUGUAGAAUGAAAUGGACCUCCGAUAAGAGACAGAUUUUGAGGCUCUGUUUUUUAAAUGCCUACCACAGUGUCCUGGUUCUGGCUGGGAUAGAGUUAAUUUUCUUCUAGUAGCUGGUGCAGUGCUGUGUUUUGGCUUUAGUCUGAGAACAGCACUGGUGGUGUUUUAGUUGUUGCUAAGUAGCACUUGCCCUGAUCAAGGACUUUUUCAUUCUCAUGCUCUGCCAGUGAGGAGGGGCACAAGAAGCUGGGAAGCAGCAGACAGGACACCUGAGCCAAACUAGCAAAAGGGGUAUUCCAUACCACAGGACCUCAUGCCCAGUAUAUAAAC
rnacentral:lncRNA from 14 species